rnacentral:lncRNA from 1 species
ACACGUCAAAAAAAUGAGCAAAUAAACAAGUACCCAAAAGCCCAAUAUAGAAGUGCAUCAAUUUGCAGGUGGAUCUGGACUCAGGGGCCCGAGAGGAAGGCAACGGGCUUCGGGCCGGGGCCAGCGGGGCCCACCAGGGGGCGGCCGCCCCCUAGGGUCGGCCGACCCUGACCCAGCCCAUCUCGGCACCGCCUUUCGCAGAGGCGGUGCUGAGCCUAUCCUCCCACAGUCCCCGCGUGCAAAUUGCAGUUUACACCCUAGGGAACCGACCUUCCCCACCUAUUUAAGGAGGGGGAGAGGGAGGCUCCAUUCAUCUCAUCACAUUCACAAUCAACACUCCACCUUCAAGGCAC